UACAUUCUAAUACUGUACAGUAUUAGAACGAAGUCGAAGUAUUUCAUCCGAAGUCUAUUCGCUCAUCCCUAUGAUCGCCCCGAAAGGGAUUUAAUUUUAUUUCUGAUUGAUUACAACCAGUUCCUUUUUGUAUCCAGCUCAUGGGCCCCAAAACACAAUAGGUCACAGGGGCCCCUUUUUUCUAUCCGGUGCAUGGACCCCAAAGUAGAAUAGGUCCCAGGGGCCCCUUUAAACCUAAGAGGUGCAAAAUGUAAAUCCCACAAAUCCCCAGUAGCUUUAAGCCCUCAUCUAGCAAGCAAUUCAAGCUUCGAUUCAACCAUUUUUUUUUGUUUGUUUUAUCAGUUUCUAGGAAAGUUGGGUGACAUCACCGCUUGCACUGGUUGUUAAUAUGUACUCGCGUAGCAUUAAAGGGAUUGUCCAGAAACAGCGCUACACACCCACCUGCAGGUUAUUUGGGGCAUUGCGCUCAAUAGAGUUGGCAUACAAUACCCGGCACAACCUGCAGCUGGGAGUGGCGCUGUUUUACCAAAGUAAACAGCCAUAUUUUUUUUUUUUUACGGAACCUGGAGAACUGGACAAGUUAGACAUUCAGGAUCCUGGAAAAGCUGGGUGAAAUUUAAAUAUUUAAACAACUUGCCAGAUGAGGACCCCUUAAAGAUGUGGGGCGUCUGGGAUAUUGUUAAAGGGGAAAUGCUCUUUAGUUUGUUUACAAAGGACUGCUAGGAAGAGGACAAAGGGGGGCAGCAGACCUCAGAGAAAGGCGACACCCGCCCCCGACUUUCAAUGAAGGGUUGUCAGAUUAUGAGUAAUCCAAAGAAAGGAAUAGGGAAGGGGGGGGGGGGGGCGCUUCCUCAUUUUUGAAAGGUCACAUAUUCUCCUUUCUAGU